AGUUCAGAUUGCAGUCUGCAACUCGACUGCAUGAAGUCGGAAUCGCUAGUAAUCGCGGAUCAGCAUGCCGCGGUGAAUACGUUCCCGGGCCUUGUACACACCGCCCGUCACACCAUGAGAGUCGGGAACACCCGAAGUCCGUAGCCUAACCGCAAGGAGGGCGCGGCCGAAGGUGGGUUCGAUAAUUGGGGUGAAGUCGUAACAAGGUAGC
rnacentral:rRNA from 1 species